GUUUCCUGAAAACGGCUGCCUUGAACCCGGCCACACUCCUCCCUGACGAGGAGGCAGAGGCCCCUUUGCAUGACUGCGAGGAGACACUGACUGCCCUCACUUCCCUCCGAGAGGACCUCGUGGACCAGCCCCUGCAGAAUCCGGAUGAGACCCUCUACACGGAAGGGAGCAGCUUCGUAGAAGGAGUCCUUACAGGCUUUGCAGAGCAGCGCCAGGUCGGCACAACGGCUGGUGAGAGCCGUACGAGAGGAGGACACACCGAGAACCAGUCCAACGCAGCCUGCAUUCUCUCCGGGUGAUCUCGUCUGGGUAAAAUGCCACGCCCCUGGCAGCCUGGAACCUACAUGGGAUGGACCCUACCAGGUGCUGCCGAGCACUCCAACCGCCAUCAGAGUUGCAGGAAAGAGGCACUGGAUCCAUCGUACGCAGGUUAAGAAGGCAAACAACAGCAUUGAGGGAUGGCGGGUCCAGAGGACCAGAGACCCGCUAAAG